rnacentral:rRNA from 1 species
GAUGAACGCUAGCGGCAGGCUUAACACAUGCAAGUCGAGGGGUAGAAGGAGCUUGCUCCUUUGAGACCGGCGCACGGGUGCGUAACGCGUAUGCAAUCUACCUUUUGCAGAGGGAUAGCCCAGAGAAAUUUGGAUUAAUACCUCAUAGUAUAGUACUUUGGCAUCAAGGAACUAUUAAAGUCACAACGGCAAAAGAUGAGCAUGCGUCCCAUUAGCUAGUUGGUAAGGUAACGGCUUACCAAGGCUACGAUGGGUAGGGGUCCUGAGAGGGAGAUCCCCCACACUGGUACUGAGACACGGACCAGACUCCUACGGGAGGCAGCAGUGAGGAAUAUUGGACAAUGGGCGCAAGCCUGAUCCAGCCAUGCCGCGUGCAGGAUGACGGUCCUAUGGAUUGUAAACUGACUUUUGUACAGGAAGAAACACUACUUCGUGAAGUAGCUUGACGUUACUGUAAGAAUAAGGAUACGGCUAACNCCGUGCCAGCAG